GUUAUAGGGUCAAGUGACUAAGUGCAUGUGGUGGAUGCCUUGGCGAUUACAGGCGAAGAAGGACGUGAUAGCCUGCGAUAAGCUGCGGGGAGCUGGCAAACAAGCUUUGAUCCGCAGAUUUCCGAAUGGGGAAACCCACCCUUAGGGGUAUCGCAUGCUGAAUACAUAGGCAUGCGAGGCGAACCGGGUGAACUGAAACAUCUCAGUAGCUCGAGGAAUAGACAUCAACCGAGAUUCCGAAAGUAGUGGCGAGCGAAAUCGGACCAGCCUGCACGUUUUAGCAGUCGACUUAUCAGAACGGAAUGGAAAGUCCGGCCACAGCGGGUGAUAGCCCCGUACGAAAAAAGACGAUUGUGGAACUGGGCGUGCGACAAGUAGGGCGGGACACGUGAAAUCCUGUCUGAAGAUGGGGGGACCAUCCUCCAAGGCUAAAUACUCGUAAUCGACCGAUAGUGAACUAGUACCGUGAGGGAAAGGCGAAAAGAACCCCGGGAGGGGAGUGAAAUAGAUCCUGAAACCGCAUGCAUACAAAAAGUCGGAGCCCGCAAGGGUGACGGCGUACCUUUUGUAUAAUGGGUCAGCGACUUACAUUCAGUGGCAAGCUUAACCGAAUAGGGGAGGCGCAGGGAAACCGAGUCCGAACAGGGCGUCCAGUCGCUGGGUGUAGACCCGAAACCAGGUGAUCUAUCCAUGGCCAGGAUGAAGGUACCGUAACAGGUGCUGGAGGUCCGAACCGACUAGUGUUGCAAAACUAGCGGAUGAGCUGUGGAUAGGGGUGAAAGGCUAAACAAACCUGGAGAUAGCUGGUUCUCUCCGAAAACUAUUUAGGUAGUGCCUCAAGUAUUACCGUCGGGGGUAGAGCACUGUUAUGGCUAGGGGGUCAUGGCGACUUACCAAACCAUUGCAAACUCCGAAUACCGAUGAGUACAGCUUGGGAGACAGUGCACCGGGUGCUAACGUCCGGACACAAGAGGGAAACAACCCAGACCGCCAGCUAAGGUCCCCAAUAUUGGCUAAGUGGGAAACGAAGUGGGAAGGCUAAAACAGUCAGGAUGUUGGCUUAGAAGCAGCCAUCAUUUAAAGAAAGCGUAAUAGCUCACUGAUCGAGUCGUCCUGCGCGGAAGAUGUAACGGGGCUAAGCCAGUUACCGAAGCUGCGGAUUUGCAAUUUAUUGCAAGUGGUAGGAGAGCGUUCUGUAAGCCUGUGAAGGUGGCUUGUAAAGGCUGCUGGAGGUAUCAGAAGUGCGAAUGCUGACAUGAGUAGCGUUAAAGCGGGUGAAAAGCCCGCUCGCCGUAAGCGCAAGGUUUUCUACGCAACGUUCAUCGGCGUAGAGUGAGUCGGCCCCUAAGGCGAGGCAGAGAUGCGUAGCUGAUGGGAAACAGGUCAAUAUUCCUGUACCGAUGUGUAGUGCGAUGUGGGGACGAAGAAGGUUAACUCAGCAGACUGUUGGAUAUGUCUGUUCAAGCCUGUAGUCGUGCCUGGUAGGUAAAUCCGCCGGGCUUAGAUGAGGGGUGAUAACGAGGGUGCUUGCACCCGAAGUGAGUGAUACCCUGCUUCCAGGAAAAGCCACUAAGCUCCAGCUACACACGACCGUACCGCAAACCGACACUGGUGCGCGAGAUGAGUAUUCUAAGGCGCUUGAGAGAACUCUGGAGAAGGAACUCGGCAAAUUGACACCGUAACUUCGGAAGAAGGUGUGCCCUAGUAAUGUGAAGCGAACAGCGGAGCAUGAACGGGUCGCAGAGAAUCGGUGGCUGCGACUGUUUAUUAAAAACACAGCACUCUGCUAAGACGAAAGUCGACGUAUAGGGUGUGACGCCUGCCCGGUGCUGGAAGAUUAAAUGAUGGGGUGCAAGCUCUUGAUUGAAGUCCCAGUAAACGGCGGCCGUAACUAUAACGGUCCUAAGGUAGCGAAAUUCCUUGUCGGGUAAGUUCCGACCUGCACGAAUGGCGUAACGAUGGCCACACUGUCUCCUCCAGAGACUCAGCGAAGUUGAAAUGUUUGUGAUGAUGCAAUCUCCCCGCGGAAAGACGGAAAGACCCCAUGAACCUUUACUGUAGCUUUACAUUGGACUUUGAACAGAUCUGUGUAGGAUAGGUGGGAGGCUUUGAAGUCUGGUCGCUAGAUCGGAUGGAGCCAACGUUGAAAUACCACCCUGGUGUGUUUGAGGUUCUAACCUUGUCCCGUUAUCCGGGAUGGGGACAGUGUAUGGUAGGCAGUUUGACUGGGGCGGUCUCCUCCCAAAGUGUAACGGAGGAGUUCGAAGGUACGCUAGGCACGGUCGGAAAUCGUGCUGAUAGUGCAUUGGCAUAAGCGUGCUUGACUGCGAGACUGACAAGUCGAGCAGGUACGAAAGUAGGACAAAGUGAUCCGGUGGUUCUGUAUGGAAGGGCCAUCGCUCAACGGAUAAAAGGUACUCUGGGGAUAACAGGCUGAUACCGCCCAAGAGUUCAUAUCGACGGCGGUGUUUGGCACCUCGAUGUCGGCUCAUCUCAUCCUGGGGCUGUAGCCGGUCCCAAGGGUAUGGCUGUUCGCCAUUUAAAGAGGUACGUGAGCUGGGUUUAAAACGUCGUGAGACAGUUUGGUCCCUAUCUUCCGUGGGCGCUGCAAGAUUGAGAGAGCCUGCUCCUAGUACGAGAGGACCGGAGUGGACGCACCUCUGGUGUAUCGGUUGUCACGCCAGUGGCAUUGCCGAGUAGCUAAGUGCGGAAGAGAUAACCGCUGAAAGCAUCUAAGCGGGAAACUCGUCUCAAGAUGAGUCUUGCCGGGGCCUUGAGUCCCCUGAAGAGUCGUUCGAGACCAGGACGUUGAUAGGCCGGGUGUGGAAGCUGGGUAACCAGUUAAGCUAACCGGUACUAAUUGCUCGUGAGGCUUGACCCUAUAACUUUG
rnacentral:rRNA from 1 species